rnacentral:lncRNA from 1 species
CCCGGCUCAGCCGCGGUGGGCUCUUCGCAGGGGCUGGCGGGGAGCCAGGAGCCAUCGCAGCCUCCCACGGGAAUGGCAGGGGUGACUUCUGUGGGUUCCAGAGGGAAAACUCAUGGCAACUGUAACGUGGAUACACUUGGGACCGUGGGGAAGCCGGGUUACAGAAGUUAGGGUGGCACAGACAGCCCCUGGUACAGCCACACGCCGCAGGGAGGGCGAUGGUGCCCGCUUGGACCCUUCCCGAGCCGCCGCUGCCGGUACCCGAGCGUGGCUCGGGCACAGCUGCUGUGACAACGUGCCCUGCACAGCCUUCUCUGCCCACAUUUCAGUCACUUCGGCUCGAGCAGCCAGCCCAUGACAAAAUGUCCCAGUGAGAGCUGGCGCGGUGGCACGCGAUGGGGCCGUGAGCCGUGCCAGCGUGGCACAGGGGACUCUGCGAGGUGGCACUUGCCCUGCGAGCACCAGCCAGCGCCGCUCCCUGCUGCCCAGCGCGGGGGAGGCACUAAGGGAGCACUGGGAGCACUGGGAGCACUGGGAGCUGUGCCGCUCCAGCGAGCAGACACCGGCAGCGCCAGGAGCCCGGGGCCACUCGCUGUGGCUGCUAUUUUCUCUUUUCUGCUUUUAAUUUCGUGGAUAAUGGUGUUUCUCUCUUUGUCAAAUGCUCAGCAAAGUUCUCAAGAUAUUUCAAACGAAGAAAUGUGGCAAUAGGAAAAAAUCAGCAGCAACCAAUGUUUCUAAAUAUUACAAGAGAAGAAGUAAACAGCAAAGUGACAACAAAUUAUUGUGUAUUUUCAUAGUCCUGUAUUUGUGAUCUUAUGUUCCAGCACAGAGAUACUUCCUAAAGGCAUGUUUAUUUUAAAGCUUUUUUUUCCCCAAAAUUUCAGAGCAUAUGUAGAACAUAUAGCAAAAGGCUGUAUGUAAAGAAGCUGACGGAAUACCUUUUCUUUUCCAGAUGUCAUCAACUCUAUUUAGAAAGAAACUAAUUGUGUAAAUUUGUAAUGUAAUUGCUUUUGAAAUAAAUACCUCAGAAAAUAUUUGCAAGUAGUUCUGACUCAAGUA